UUGAUGCUCCAGAUGAGGAUUUCACGGAGACAGCACAAGCACUUCCCUUGGUGCAGUUCCAAAAGAGAAGAUUGCCUGUGGGUGCAGGUGCAAACACCAGGAAAACCCAUAUGAAGGAAAGUAUCAAGAAUUGAAUCUUGAGGUUAAAAUAUGCCCCCCAUUUCAACACCAACCUGAACUACUGGGGGGAAGAGGUAGGGAAGUGUUCUGCUUCUACUGCAGCCUGGGAUUGCAAAACAGUAAGGAAUGCAGUUGCAGUGAAGGUGACACUGAUGAUUUACUAGACACCAAGAACAGUGUUUUGGAUUACACAAGCUAGAAGAUGGAGGUGAGACCAAAACUAGUGUUUUUGGUUCCUGUUUAAAAACGAGUAUGUAAACGAAAAACAUGGGAUUAUUAUUUUGUUUAAAUAAUCUUCUUUCACAAUAAAAGAACUAGUGGCGGGUGAAGUAUUGAUUUGCACAACUAAAAAUUUGAGGAUCAUUUGUCGAAACAUUGAAACAAUUAAUUGGAUUGGUACCCUCUCAAAUUAGAACAAACACGAUCCAUAAUGAUUGCACCAUUUCAAACACUGAAUUCAAAUCAAUGGUGGAGAUUAAUUUUUAGUCCCGAAUAUAUAACUGCACAUUUUCUUUUUUGAAAAAAAAGUUAAAAGUCUCAACCACUCAUUUUGAAUUCAAGAGUUGAUGAAUUUCCCACUGUGAUAGUUUUCCCUUUUUCUCCUUUUUUGUUAAUUCAGAAAAGCUGUGCACACCACCAUCCGAUGAAAAUUUUCACUCCCAUUGCAUGGUGAUUAGUUCAUGAAUCAUUUUCCUUGAUCUUUCACUUUAGAGUUGAGGAUAAGCUGUGAGAUGAGGAUGAAGAAGUAGAUGGAGGAAGGUAAUCUAUCUUAGUCAAGCACAAAUGGAGAUAUACAUAAGAGAGAUGUUGAGAGAGGGAGCAUGGAGCAAACUUGUCACAGAAUCUAAUUUUGUUAACAUGCAGUGUUGGUUGGAAUAAUUAUU
rnacentral:misc_RNA from 1 species